rnacentral:rRNA from 1 species
UCCUUCCUACGGGGCGCAGCAGUGGGGAAUAUUGGGCAAUGGGGGAAACCCUGACCCAGCGACGCCGCGUGAGGGAAGAAGGUUUUCGGAUUGUAAACCUCUGUCCUUGGUGACGAUAAUGACGGUAGCCAAGGAGGAAGCCACGGCUAACUACGUGCCAGCAGCCGCGGUAAUACGUAGGUGGCGAGCGUUGUCCGGAAUUACUGGGUGUAAAGGGAGCGUAGGCGGCCUGGCAAGCCUGAUGUGAAAUACCGGGGCCCAACCCCGGGGCUGCAUUGGGAACUGCCAGGCUGGAGUGCCGGAGG